UUGGAUAGCUCAAUCGGUUAGAGCAACUGACUCAUCAUCAGCAUGUCGCGGGUUCGAUUCCCGCUCCAA
rnacentral:tRNA from 1 species